AUCUUCCUGUACAAAGAACUCUGCUAUAAUUACAACACUUGGCUUUAAUUUUAACUAGGUUUUGUAGUAGUGCUAGCAGAGUAUGAACAGGAAGUAGAGUAAAUGCACCUAUCAAUUUGACAUGGAUGGACCUCUUUCUUAAUGUUCAAUAUCCUUCUGUCUGAGAUUUGGUGCAAACAUU